rnacentral:rRNA from 1 species
UACGUAGGGGGCGAGCGUUGUCCGGAUUCAUUGGGCGUAAAGAGCUCGUAGGCGGCUUGGCAAGUCGGAUGUGAAAACUCCAGGCUCAACCUGGAGCCGCCAUUCGAUACUGCUAUGGCUAGAGUCCGGUAGGGGAGUGUGGAAUUCCCGGUGUAGCGGUGAAAUGCGCAGAUAUCGGGAGGAACACUGAUGGCGAAGGCAGCACUCUGGGCCGGUACUGACGCUGAGGAGCGAAAGCGUGGGGAGCGAACAGG